rnacentral:rRNA from 1 species
CUGACCGUGCUAAGGUAGCAUAAUCAUUUGCCUCUUAAUUGGUGGCUAGUAUGAAUGGACACACGCAAGCGCUGCUGUCUCAUUAAUAUAAAUAAAAAUUAACCUUCAAGUGAAGAGACUUGAAUAAAAUAAAAAGACAAAAAGACCCUAUGGAGCUUUAUUCAACCGCCCUGCAAUCUAAUAUUUAUAAAAUUUACUACAGCGCUAAUGAAUUCAGUUGGGGCGACUAAGGAAAACAAUAAAUCUUCCUUCACAUAAAGAAAAUAAUUCUCUCAAAGAUCCGCUAUGCGAAUAUAGAUCCAGCUACCCUAGGGAUAACAGGCUAAUUCUUCUCGAGAGCCCAAAUUGACAGAAGAGAUUGGCACCUC